rnacentral:lncRNA from 1 species
AUUAUAUUAAUUGAUAGAUCAGUAAUUAUGUUCAUAAUGAUCCUGCUCCUUUAAUGAGAGGAGUCACCAUUGAUAGUGAGGAUAAACUAAUCAUUGGAAAUGAAAAUGGAGAACUUAUACUACUGGACUUAAGACAUAUCAAGUCACCAUUAAAGACAAUAAGAUGAUCAUCAUCACCAAUAUGUUCACUGUGUUAUAAUAAUAAUAAAGUAUUAGUAGGACACAAGAAUGGGGUGUGCAUUAAUUGGAGUUAUAAUGAUGACACAUUACUCAAUGAUCAUAUAACUGGUACUGAUAUUGAUCCAAUAAGUUCAAUAGUGAGAAGACAUCAUGUGACAUACACUAGUUCUAGGGAUGGACGUGUACGUAUGUAUGAGAACAUUUAAGUUAAUUAUUUAUGUGAUAUUAUAAUUACUAUCAAACAUGUACUAUUGAUUGUGAUUUGUGUUGCUGUUAUUGAUCAAUGCUUUCAUAAAGAAUAUUGCUCAGAUGUGUAGAUUCACA